UACGAAGGGGGCUAGCGUUGUUCGGAAUUACUGGGCGUAAAGCGCGCGUAGGCGGUGAUCUUUGUCAGAGGUGAAAGCCCGAGGCUCAACUCCGGAAUUGCCUUUGAAACGGGAUCGCUUGAGUCCGAGAGAGGAUGGCGGAAUUCCUAGUGUAGAGGUGAAAUUCGUAGAUAUUAGGAAGAACACCGGUGGCGAAGGCGGCCAUCUGGCUCGGUACUGACGCUCAGGCGCGAAAGCGUGGGGAGCAAACAGG
rnacentral:rRNA from 1 species